UACAUGGGGUGCAAACGUUGCUCGGAAUUAUUGGGCGUAAAGCGCGCGUAGGCGGUUACUCAAGUCGGAUGUGAAAGCCCUCGGCUUAACCGGGGAACUGCGUCUGAUACUGGAUGGCUUGAGGUUGGGAGAGGGAUGCGGAAUUCCAGGUGUAGCGGUGAAAUGCGUAGAUAUCUGGAGGAACACCGGUGGCGAAGGCGGCAUCCUGGACCAAUUCUGACGCUGAGGAGCGAAAGCCAGGGGAGCAAACGGG
rnacentral:rRNA from 1 species